rnacentral:rRNA from 1 species
AAAUCAACAUUAUAACGGCGUAAAGCGUGGUCACAUGUUAUCCAAGUAGCUAAGAUUAAAAAGCAACUGAGCCGUCAUAAGCCCAAGAUGCGUCAUAAGGCCUCUAUUCAAAGAAAAUCUUAGACCAACGAUCAAUUAAAGCCACGAAAGCCAGGACCCAAACUGGGAUUAGAUACCCCACUAUGCCUGGCCCUAAAUCUUGAUGCUCGAUCUAACCGGAGCAUCCGCCCGAGAACUACGAGCACAAACGCUUAAAACUCUAAGGACUUGGCGGUGCUCCAAAUCCACCUAGAGGAGCCUGUUCUGUAAUCGAUGAUCCACGAUAUACCUGACCAUUCCUUGCCCAAAACAGCCUAUAUACCGCCGUCUCCAGCCCACCCCGCAUGAAGGUUCAAC